AAAUACUCUUCAAAAAUGAUGGAGAGGAUCACUAUGAUGAUGAAUGAUUCCACUGGUCACAUUAUUGAUAGAGCAAUCAGUAAAUCCAGGCACAUCCUCGGGAUAUUACUGACCUCCUAUUAUUAAAAUAUGAAAAAAUGGAGGCAUGUAAAUUACUCGUUUAAGCGUAUAACGGACUGAAUUAGAAUUUUAUCACACCAGAAGUGGGUUCCUAGGUCUCUGUUUCAGGAUUCCUGAGUUACACACGUAUAAACCCAGGAUUUCAGGAGAUACCCGGUUAAGAAUCCGGUCGGGGAGGUGGGCUGGCCCUUGACAUGGAUAAGUCACAAAUUAGUGGCUUAGGACUCCAGGAAGAUAAAAUCUUCCCCAUUUAUCUAGUGAUUGACAAUGCAUGAAUACUUUAAAAGCUUGAACAAGCGUCCCUGGGUGGGCUCGAACCACCAACCUUUCGGUUAACAGCCGAACGCGCUAACCAAUUGCGCCACAGAGACAGGUACUGUCAGUUCUACUGGGCGCUAUAGGAAGGGCGCACGCACGAAACUUCCUCCGUCCCUUGCAUCCUCAGGGCCCGCCCGGCAGGACGACUGAGCAAGGCCUUGGAAGACCGGAGAGAUUGGAGCGCAGAAUGGGGAGGAAUUGAGGGGAAAAUGGAGAUAGCACCUGAAAGAGCCCCAAACGCCAGAACCUGUAGCUCCCCAAGAAUAAGAUCUUCCAGAAGAACUAGACCCAAAACUAGCCGUUGGGGAACACCGAAAUCCUUGGAGGAGCAACAUCCGCAUGACCCUCUGUGUUCCUUUAGGCAAAAGGACUUGCUUCCAUUGUUUGUUCAAUUGUUUGUGUUUGUUAAAUAAAUAAAACGAUUUUCAUGUAUCUUUGAAA